rnacentral:rRNA from 1 species
UACGGGAGGGAGCAGUGGGGAAUAUUGCACAAUGGGCGCAAGCCUGAUGCAGCCAUGCCGCGUGUAUGAAAAAGGCCUUCGGGUUGUAAAGUACUUUCAGUCGUGAGGAAGGUGUUAAGGUUAAUAACCUUAGCAAUUGACGUUAGCGACAGAAGAAGCACCGGCUAACUCCGUGCCAGCAGCCGCGGUAAUACGGAGGGUGCGAGCGUUAAUCGGAAUUACUGGGCGUAAAGGGCACGCAGGCGGUUAAUUAAGUUGGAUGUGAAAUCCCCGGGCUUAACCUGGGAAUGGCAUUCAAGACUGGUUAGCUAGAGUCUUGUAGAGGGGGUAGAAUUCCAUGUGUAGCGGUGAAAUGCGUAGAGAUGUGGAGGAAUACCGGUGGCGAAGGCGGCCCCUGGACAAAGACUGACGCUCAUGUGCGAAAGCGUGGGGAGCAAACGAGGGAUUAGAUACC